rnacentral:rRNA from 1 species
AACAAACGCUGGCGGCGUGCCUAACACAUGCAAGUCGUACGAGAAAGUUGGCUUCGGCCAAUGAGUAAAGUGGCGCACGGGUGAGUAACGCGUGGAUAAUCUGCCCCUCAGUUGGGAAUAACUCAUCGAAAGGUGAGCUAAUACCGAAUGAUACUGCACAACUACUGUUGUACAGUCAAAGAAGGCCUCUGUUUACAAGCUUUCGCUGAAGGAUGAGUCCGCGUACCAUUAGCUAGUUGGUAGGGUAAUGGCCUACCAAGGCGACGAUGGUUAGCUGGUCUGAGAGGAUGAUCAGCCACACUGGAACUGAGACACGGUCCAGACUCCUACGGGUGGCUG